CAUUGCCUGCUGACGUCAG
rnacentral:misc_RNA from 1 species